UGGGGAAUUGUUCGCAAUGGGCGCAAGCCUGACGACGCAACGCCGCGUGGAGGAUGAAGGUCUUCGGAUUGUAAACUCCUGUUGAUCGGGACGAACAACCAUCGGGAUAACACCCCGGAGGUCUGACGGUACCGAUUGAGGAAGCCCCGGCUAACUCUGUGCCAGCAGCCGCGGUAAUACAGAGGGUGCGAGCGUUAAUCGGAAUUACUGGGCGUAAAGCGCGCGUAGGCGGCUAUACAAGUCGAGUGUGAAAUCCCCGGGCUCAACCUGGGAACUGCAUUCGAGACUGUAUGGCUUGAGUAUGGGAGAGGGAGGCGGAAUUUCAGGUGUAGCGGUGAAAUGCGUAGAUAUCUGAAGGAACAUCAGUGGCGAAAGCGGCCUCCUGGACCAAUACUGACGCUCAUGUGCGAAAGCGUGGGGAGCAAA
rnacentral:rRNA from 1 species